rnacentral:rRNA from 1 species
GACGAACGUUGGCGGCGUGCUUAAUACAUGCAAGUCAACUGAAGCAGUGGUAGCAAUAUCGCUGUGGAGGUGGCGCACGGGUGAGUAACACGUAGGUAAUCUGCCUUCAGGUCUGGCAUAACUCCGGGAAACCGGGGCUAAUAGCAGAUGAUGCAGCGGCUCGACAUCGAGACAGUUGUUAAAGCUAUGGCGCCUGAAGAUGAGCCUGCGUCUGAUUAGCUAGUUGGCGGGGUAACGGCCCACCAAGGCAACGAUCAGUAGCUGGUCUGAGAGGAUGAUCAGCCACACUGGAACUGAGACACGGUCCAGGCUCCUACGGGGGGCAGCAGUAAGGAAUAUUGCUCAAUGGGAGAAAUCCUGAAGCAGCAACGCCGCGUGAGGGACGAAGGGCUUUUGCUUGUAAACCUCUGUAGUGAGAGAAAAAAAUCCCAAUCUUUGGGACAUGAUGGUAUCUCAAAAGUAAGCCCCGGCUAACUACGUG